GACGAACGCUGGCGGCGUGCCUAACACAUGCAAGUGGAGCGACGAACCAGGGCUUGCCCUGGGGCCAAGCCGCGAACGGGUGAGUAACACGUGGGUAACCUGCCCCGAUGACCGGGACAACUCGAGGAAACUCGGACUAAUACCGGAUGUACCCCUCGCACAUACGUGCAAGGAGUAAAGGAAGCUUCGGCCUCCUCUUCGGGAGGGGCCCGCGGCCCAUUAGCUAGUUGGUGAGGUAACGGCUCACCAAGGCAACGAUGGGUAGCUGGUCGGAGAGGACGAUCAGCCACACUGGGACUGAGACACGGGCCAGACUCCUACGGGAGGCAGCAGUGGGGAAUCUUGCGCAAUGCGCGAAAGCGUGACGCAGCAACGCCGCGUGGGGGAAGAAGGCCUUCGGGUUGUAAACCCCUUUCAGGAGGGACGAAGGUAGGGCAGUGAACAGCUGUCCCUACUGACGGUACCUCCAGAAGAAGCCCCGGCUAACUACGUGCCAGCCGCCGCCGUAA
rnacentral:rRNA from 1 species